rnacentral:lncRNA from 1 species
UUUGCACUAGGUCUCUUGUUUUUUUUUUUGGUUAUUUUUGUUAAGCAAUUAGGGUCCUAAUUUGUGUGUAUAUAUAUAGCAUCAUACUUUAAAUCAACACUAAGACCAUCUCCAAUGGCUGUGUUUAUUUUUUUGCUCCAAAAUAAAAAGAAGUUUUACUCCAAUGGAUACCUCUACUUUUUACUCUAAAAAGAAUAUAUUAGUAUAUUGUUUUUCUACUUAUUAUUAAUCUAUUUUUAAUCCACAACUUUUAAAGUGUUGAAAUUUUACCUCAUAUUUUAUCUUGUAACAAUAACACAAGAAGAAAA